rnacentral:rRNA from 1 species
AUUGAACGCUGGCGGCAGGCCUAACACAUGCAAGUCGAACGAGUGGCGGACGGGUGAGCAAUGUCUGGGAAACUGCCUGAUGGAGGGGGAUAACUACUGGAAACGGUAGCUAAUACCGCAUACCAUAGGAUGUGCCCAGAGGGGAUUAGCUAGUGGGUGGGGUAACGGCUCACCUAGGCGACGAUCCCUAGCUGGUCUGAGCGUGCGACCGGCCACACUGUAACUGAGACCCGGUCCAGACUCCUACGGUAGGCAGCAGUGGGGAAUAUUCCACAAUGGGCGCAAGCCUGAUGGAGCAACGCCGCGUGUGUGAAGAAGGUCUUCGGGUUGUAAAGCGCUUUCAGCGGGGAAGCGUUAACCGCCCAAGAAGCACCGGCUAACUCCGUGCCAGCAGCCGCGGUAAUUC